rnacentral:rRNA from 1 species
AUUGAACGCUGGCGGCGUGCCUAAUACAUGCAAGUCGAGCGAAGCGGGGACGGGUGUGUAACACGUGGAUAACCUCCCAUAAGAGUGGGAUAACUUCGGGAAACCGGAGCUAAACCGGACACUUAUAGAUGGAUCCGCGCUGCAUUAGGGAGUUGGUAAGGUAACGGCUUACCAAGGCAACGAUGCAUAGCAGACCUGAGAGGGGAACCGGCAACUCGGGAACGGAGCAACGGCCCAGACUCCUACGGGAGGCGGCGGGGGGAAAUCUUCCGAAAUGGGCGAAAGCCGGACGAGGCACCGCGGCGGGAGUGAUGCGGGUCUUCGGAUCGUAAAACUCUGUUAUUAGGGAAGCGGUACCUGAUCAGAAAGCCACGGCUAACUACGUGCCAGCCGCCGCGGUAAUUC